CUGAAGGGCGCGUCCGGGUCAAUUGCGGCUUGCAACACCCGAUCUCCCUCAACACGCCUCCGGAUAUGGAGGUCUCCGAGGGGGAGCGCGUGACCGUCAG
rfam:Natronolimnobius innermongolicus JCM 12255 contig_41, whole genome shotgun sequence.